rnacentral:rRNA from 1 species
GAUGAACGCUGACAGAAUGCUUAACACAUGCAAGUCCACUUGAACUUCGGUUUGGGUGGCGGACGGGUGAGUAACGCGUACAGAACUUGCCUCACAGAUAGGGACAACAUUUGGAAACGAAUGCUAAUACCUGAUAUUAUGAUUUUAGGGCAUCCUAGGAUUAUGAAAGCUAUAUGCGCUGUGAGAGAGCUUUGCGUCCCAUUAGCUAGUUGGAGAGGUAACGGCUCACCAAGGCGAUGAUGGGUAGCCGGCCUGAGAGGGUGAUCGGCCACAAGGGGACUGAGACACGGCCCUUACUCCUACGGGAGGCAGCAGUGGGGAAUAUUGGACAAUGGACCAAGAGUCUGAUCCAGCAAUUCUGUGUGCACGAUGAAGUUUUUCGGAAUGUAAAGUGCUUUCAGUUGGGAAGAAAAAAAUGACGGUACCAACAGAAGAAGUGACGGCUAAAUACGUG